CCGAUAACUCACAGAGGCGAAGUCUGAUGCAGCAUGCCGCGUGAGUGAUGAAGGCCUUUGGGUUGUAAAGCUCUUUCACCAGGGAAGAAAAUGACUGUACCUACUUAAGAUGGACCGGCUAAGUUCGUGCCAGCACCCCCGGUAUUAUAAUAUGC
rnacentral:rRNA from 1 species